AUACGUAGGGGGCAAGCGUUAUCCGGAUUUACUGGGUGUAAAGGGAGCGUAGUCGGCGAUGCAAGUCUGAAGUGAAAACCCGGGGCUCAACCCCGCGGACUGCUUUGGAAACUGUGUUGCUGGAGUGCAGGAGAGGUGAGUGGAAUUCCUAGUGUAGCGGUGAAAUGCGUAGAUAUUAGGAGGAACACCAGGGGCGAAGGCGCCUCCCUGCACGUUAACAAACGUUGAGGCCCGAAAUCGGGGGGUGCAAACAGGAUUAGAUCCCCGGGCAGCCCACGCCGUAAACGAUGAAUGCUAGGUGGCGGGGGGCAAAGCCCUUCGGUGCCGCCGCUAACGCAUUAAGCAUUCCACCUGGGGAGUACGUUCGCAAGAAUGAAACUCAAAUGAAUUCACGGGG
rnacentral:rRNA from 1 species